AGCGAACGCUGGCGGCAGGCCUAACACAUGCAAGUCGAACGAACCUUUCGGGGUUAGUGGCGGACGGGUGUGUAACACGUGGGAACGUGCCCUUAGGUUCGGAAUAACUCAGGGAAACUUGUGCUAAUACCGAAUGUGCCCUUCGGGGGAAAGAUUUAUCGCCUUUCGAGCGGCCCGCGUCUGAUUAGCUAGUUGUUUGAGGUAAUGGAUCACCAAGGCGACGAUCAGUAGCUGGUCUGAGAGGAUGAUCAGGCACAUUGGGACUGAGACACGGCCCAAACUCCUACGGAAGGCAGCAGGGGGGAAGCAUGCGCAAUGGGCGAAAGACUGACGCAGCCAGGCCGCGUGAAUGAUGAAGGUGUGAGGAUUGUAAAAUUCUUUCACCGGGGACGAUAAGGACGGUACCAGGAGAAGAAGCCCCGGCUAACUUCGG
rnacentral:rRNA from 1 species